rnacentral:rRNA from 1 species
CAUGCAAGUCGAGCGGUAACAGGAGAAGCUUGCUUCUCGCUGACGAGCGGCGGACGGGUGAGUAAUACUUAGGAAUCUACCUAGUAGUGGGGGAUAGCACGGGGAAACUCGUAUUAAUACCGCAUACGACCUACGGGAGAAAGGGGGCAGUUUACUGCUCUCGCUAUUAGAUGAGCCUAAGUCGGAUUAGCUAGAUGGUGGGGUAAAGGCCUACCAUGGCGACGAUCUGUAGCUGGUCUGAGAGGAUGAUCAGCCACACCGGGACUGAGACACGGCCCGGACUCCUACGGGAGGCAGCAGUGGGGAAUAUUGGACAAUGGGGGAAACCCUGAUCCAGCCAUGCCGCGUGUGUGAAGAAGGCCUUUUGGUUGUAAAGCACUUUAAGCAGUGAAGAAGACUCCAUGGUUAAUACCCAUGGACGAUGACAUUAGCUGCAGAAUAAGCACCGGCUAACUCUGUGCCAUCAGCCGCGGGUAAUACAGAGGGUGCAAGCGUUAAUCGGAAUUACUGGGGCGUAAAGGGGAGCGUAGGUGGCU